UCUGGUAGCCUUCGGUUGCCCGAGUUGUAAUCUAGAGAAGUGUUUUCCGCGUUGGCCCAUGUACAAGUCCCUUGGAACAGGGCGUCAUAGAGGGUGAGAAUCCCGUCCUUGACAUGGACCCCCAAUGCUUUGUGAUACACUUUCAACGAGUCGAGUUGUUUGGGAAUGCAGCUCAAAAUGGGUGGUGAAUUCCAUCUAAAGCUAAAUAUUGGCGAGAGACCGAUAGCGAACAAGUACCGUGAGGGAAAGAUGAAAAGCACUUUGGAAAGAGAGUUAAACAGUACGUGAAAUUGUUGAAAGGGAAACGAUUGAAGUCAGUCAUGCUCUUUGGAUUAAGCCGUUCUGCGGUGUAUUUCAUUGAGCGGGGUCAACAUCAGUUUUGAUCGCUGGAAAAGGGCAGGAGGAAGGUAGCACUCUCGGGUGAACUUAUAGCCUCUUGUCGUAUACAGUGAUUGGGACUGAGGAACGCAGCAUGCCUUUUGGCCGGGAUUCGUCCACGUACAUGCUUAGGAUGUUGACAUAAUGGCUUUAAACGACCCGUCUUGA
rnacentral:rRNA from 1 species